rnacentral:rRNA from 1 species
GGGUUGUGAGGUUAAGCGACUAAGCGUACACGGUGGAUGCCCUGGCAGUCAGAGGCGAUGAAGGACGUGCUAAUCUGCGAUAAGCGUCGGUAAGGUGAUAUGAACCGUUAUAACCGGCGAUUUCCGAAUGGGGAAACCCAGUGUGAUUCGUCACACUAUCAUUAACUGAAUCCAUAGGUUAAUGAGGCGAACCGGGGGAACUGAAACAUCUAAGUACCCCGAGGAAAAGAAAUCAACCGAGAUUCCCCCAGUAGCGGCGAGCGAACGGGGAGGAGCCCAGAGCCUGAAUCAGUGUGUGUGUUAGUGGAAGCGUCUGGAAAGGCGCGCGAUACAGGGUGACAGCCCCGUACACAAAAAUGCACAUGCUGUGAGCUCGAUGAGUAGGGCGGGACACGUGGUAUCCUGUCUGAAUAUGGGGGGACCAUCCUCCAAGGCUAAAUACUCCUGACUGACCGAUAGUGAACCAGUACCGUGAGGGAAAGGCGAAAAGAACCCCGGCGAGGGGAGUGAAAAAGAACCUGAAACCGUGUACGUACAAGCAGUGGGAGCCUCUUUAUGGGGUGACUGCGUACCUUUUGUAUAAUGGGUCAGCGACUUAUAUUCUGUAGCAAGGUUAACCGAAUAGGGGAGCCGAAGGGAAACCGAGUCUUAACUGGGCGUUAAGUUGCAGGGUAUAGACCCGAAACCCGGUGAUCUAGCCAUGGGCAGGUUGAAGGUUGGGUAACACUAACUGGAGGACCGAACCGACUAAUGUUGAAAAAUUAGCGGAUGACUUGUGGCUGGGGGUGAAAGGCCAAUCAAACCGGGAGAUAGCUGGUUCUCCCCGAAAGCUAUUUAGGUAGCGCCUCGUGAAUUCAUCUCCGGGGGUAGAGCACUGUUUCGGCAAGGGGGUCAUCCCGACUUACCAACCCGAUGCAAACUGCGAAUACCGGAGAAUGUUAUCACGGGAGACACACGGCGGGUGCUAACGUCCGUCGUGAAGAGGGAAACAACCCAGACCGCCAGCUAAGGUCCCAAAGUCAUGGUUAAGUGGGAAACGAUGUGGGAAGGCCCAGACAGCCAGGAUGUUGGCUUAGAAGCAGCCAUCAUUUAAAGAAAGCGUAAUAGCUCACUGGUCGAGUCGGCCUGCGCGGAAGAUGUAACGGGGCUAAACCAUGCACCGAAGCUGCGGCAGCGACACUAUGUGUUGUUGGGUAGGGGAGCGUUCUGUAAGCCUGCGAAGGUGUACUGUGAGGUAUGCUGGAGGUAUCAGAAGUGCGAAUGCUGACAUAAGUAACGAUAAAGCGGGUGAAAAGCCCGCUCGCCGGAAGACCAAGGGUUCCUGUCCAACGUUAAUCGGGGCAGGGUGAGUCGACCCCUAAGGCGAGGCCGAAAGGCGUAGUCGAUGGGAAACAGGUUAAUAUUCCUGUACUUGGUGUUACUGCGAAGGGGGGACGGAGAAGGCUAUGUUGGCCGGGCGACGGUUGUCCCGGUUUAAGCGUGUAGGCUGAUUUUCCAGGCAAAUCCGGAAAAUCAAGGCUGAGGCGUGAUGACGAGACACUACGGUGCUGAAGCAACAAAUGCCCUGCUUCCAGGAAAAGCCUCUAAGCAUCAGGUAACAUCAAAUCGUACCCCAAACCGACACAGGUGGUCAGGUAGAGAAUACCAAGGCGCUUGAGAGAACUCGGGUGAAGGAACUAGGCAAAAUGGUGCCGUAACUUCGGGAGAAGGCACGCUGAUAUGUAGGUGAAGCGACUUGCUCGUGGAGCUGAAAUCAGUCGAAGAUACCAGCUGGCUGCAACUGUUUAUUAAAAACACAGCACUGUGCAAACACGAAAGUGGACGUAUACGGUGUGACGCCUGCCCGGUGCCGGAAGGUUAAUUGAUGGGGUCAGCGCAAGCGAAGCUCUUGAUCGAAGCCCCGGUAAACGGCGGCCGUAACUAUAACGGUCCUAAGGUAGCGAAAUUCCUUGUCGGGUAAGUUCCGACCUGCACGAAUGGCGUAAUGAUGGCCAGGCUGUCUCCACCCGAGACUCAGUGAAAUUGAACUCGCUGUGAAGAUGCAGUGUACCCGCGGCAAGACGGAAAGACCCCGUGAACCUUUACUAUAGCUUGACACUGAACAUUGAGCCUUGAUGUGUAGGAUAGGUGGGAGGCUUUGAAGUGUGGACGCCAGUCUGCAUGGAGCCGACCUUGAAAUACCACCCUUUAAUGUUUGAUGUUCUAACGUUGGCCCGUAAUCCGGGUUGCGGACAGUGUCUGGUGGGUAGUUUGACUGGGGCGGUCUCCUCCUAAAGAGUAACGGAGGAGCACGAAGGUUGGCUAAUCCUGGUCGGACAUCAGGAGGUUAGUGCAAUGGCAUAAGCCAGCUUGACUGCGAGCGUGACGGCGCGAGCAGGUGCGAAAGCAGGUCAUAGUGAUCCGGUGGUUCUGAAUGGAAGGGCCAUCGCUCAACGGAUAAAAGGUACUCCGGGGAUAACAGGCUGAUACCGCCCAAGAGUUCAUAUCGACGGCGGUGUUUGGCACCUCGAUGUCGGCUCAUCACAUCCUGGGGCUGAAGUAGGUCCCAAGGGUAUGGCUGUUCGCCAUUUAAAGUGGUACGCGAGCUGGGUUUAGAACGUCGUGAGACAGUUCGGUCCCUAUCUGCCGUGGGCGCUGGAGAACUGAGGGGGGCUGCUCCUAGUACGAGAGGACCGGAGUGGACGCAUCACUGGUGUUCGGGUUGUCAUGCCAAUGGCACUGCCCGGUAGCUAAAUGCGGAAGAGAUAAGUGCUGAAAGCAUCUAAGCACGAAACUUGCCCCGAGAUGAGUUCUCCCUGACUCCUUGAGAGUCCUGAAGGAACGUUGAAGACGACGACGUUGAUAGGCCGGGUGUGUAAGCGCAGCGAUGCGUUGAGCUAACCGGUACUAAUGAACCGUGAGGCUUAACCUUACAACGCCGAAG